GACGAACGCUGGCGGCGUGCCUAAUACAUGCAAGUCGAGCGAAGCGGCGGCUGGGUGAGUAACGCGUGGGUAACCUGCCCUUAAGUCUGGGAUACCAUUUGGAAACAGAUGCUAAUACCGGAUACAAAAGGAUGGACCUGCAAUGCAUUAGCUAGUUGGUAAGGUAACGGCUUACCAAGGCAACGAUGCGUCGCCGACCUGAGAGGGUGAUCGGCAACUCGUGAACGAAGACACGGUCCAGACUCCUACGGGAGGCAGCAGUGGGGAAUCUUCCGCAAUGGGCGAAGUCCUGACGGAGCAACGCCGCGUGAGUGAGAAAGGUCUUCGGAUCGUAAAACUCUGUUAUUAGGGAAGCGGUACCUAAUCAGAAAGCCACGGCUAACUACGUGCCAGCCGCCGCGGUAAUAC
rnacentral:rRNA from 1 species